AUUGAACGCUGGCGGCAGGCCUAAUACAUGCAGGUCGAGCGGACGAAGGGAGCUCGCUCCUGGAUUCCGUGGGGGACGGGCGAGUAAUGCCCACGAAUCUGCCCGGCCUUGGGGGCUAACGUCCCUUCACGGGCGCUAAUAUCGCACCCGUUCAGAUGUCGAACGUGGGGGUUCUUUGGACAUAGAGCUUUUUGCUGUGCCUAGGUCGGAUUAGCUAGUUGGUAGGGUAAAGGCCUACCAAGGCGACGAUCCGUAACUGGUCUGAGAGGCUGAUCAGUCACACUGGAACUGAGACACGGUCCAGACUCCUACGGGAGGCAGCAGUGGGGAAUAUUGGACAAUGGGCGAAAGCCUGAUGCAGCCAUGCCGCGUGAGUGAAGAAGGUCUUCGGAUCGUAAAGCUCUGUUAGUAGGGAAGAAGAGCAGUGAGAGUAAACCUUGAUGUUUUGACGGUACCAACAGAGAAAGCCCCGGCUAACUACGUG
rnacentral:rRNA from 1 species